GCCAUGCUCUCGCGCACGGCUGUGCAGACGCUGGCGCUGGCUGAAGGCGUGGAAGCCGUGGCCGUGUUCGAGGCGUCGAGCGUGAUUC
rnacentral:tRNA from 1 species